rnacentral:lncRNA from 1 species
UUUUCGACAUAUUUCUCCAGACCACGCAUUGAACAAUACACAAUGACACAAAACUUAAAUAUCAAACCCAAUUUUCAAAACUAAAAUUAGUUAGCAUAUCAAAAUUAAUGAUCAUGGAGUAGUCUGAUAAUCGUCGCAUUUCCAAGUUCAAAUAUAAAACCUAAUUAUCCACUCAAAACACCCAGCAAAUUAAGUCGACGCAAACAAAUACACACAGUAAGGCAAUUCUCAAUUAAAAUCUCGUGAAAUUGCAGCAGAGAAAAUUAAAAGAACUGACCUUGCUUUGAAAAUUGUGGCUGUGCAAAAACAUCAAGAAGAGUUGGAGGAGGCCACCGUGCACCAUGAUCGGCUCUCGAUCGGAAUCGCGGCGGGCACAAAAUCCACCGAAUAUUCCGCUGGCGUAUCUCUCGAUUUCCACCAGCUUCCGGCAGGUCUCCUCCGUGCAAUCCACGACCUGCACGCCGGAAAACGCCAGGUAGCCGACCUUCCCCGCACGGUGGACGACGAAGCUCUGCGCCGCGUCGGCGUUGGCGCUGCUGCACAACCGCCACGACUCCUCCAGAAGGGGCGUCGACGCUAGGUACGUUGCUAGCAUCUCACUCGACUCGAACCUGCCAUUGGUGAAAAUAAAUAAUAAGAAAUUGAUCGUGCGUUGUGUAAAUUAAUCAAAUUCUGUAGACAAUUCGAAGUCAAAUUAUGGACUGGAAAAUUCUGGUUUCUCGAUUUUUUUUCUUUUCUUUUUCUUUUGAUAGAUGAGCUGUGAGUGUAGAAGAUCAACUAUUCAACUUUUUUUAGAGUAAAGAUCAACUAUUCAACUUACUGGGAAGUUUCGGGUUCCAUUGAAGCUUCCCUUUUCCUUUUUCUUAGCUCCCUUUGAGGUGGUAUGACUUAUGAGGAAGUAAAGUAAGACCAGUUUCUUC